rnacentral:rRNA from 1 species
AACGUAGGUGGCGAGCGUUAUCCGGAUUUACUGGGCGUAAAGCGUGCGCAGGCGGUCUUGCAAGACAGAUGUGAAAUCCCCGGGCUUAACCUGGGAACUGCAUUUGUGACUGCAAGGCUGGAGUACGGCAGAGGGGGAUGGAAUUCCGCGUGUAGCAGUGAAAUGCGUAGAUAUGCGGAGGAACACCGAUGGCGAAGGCAAUCCCCUGGGCCUGUACUGACGCUCAUGCACGAAAGCGUGGGGAGCAAACAGG